rnacentral:rRNA from 1 species
UACGUAGGGUGCAAGCGUUAAUCGGAAUUACUGGCGUAAAGCGUGCGCAGGCGGUUGUGUAAGACAGAUGCGAAAUCCCCGGGCUCAACCCGGGAACUGCGUCCGAUACUGAAAGGCUUGAAUCCGGGAGAGGGAUGCGGAAUUCCAGGUGUGAGCGGUGGAAAUACGGUAGAUAUCUGGAGGAACACCGGUGGCGAAGGCGGCAUCCUGGACCGGCAUUGACGCUGAGGCGCGAAAGC